rnacentral:ribozyme from 1 species
UGCCCAGCAACUUCUAUCCCUACCUCCUCGCGGUACUGGCCGGGGUACGAGUAACCUUAGGGAAGAUCGGGUAACCAAUCCCCGGUGUGAACUUUGGUCGUUUGCUGACAGAGAAGA